GCUGGUGUAGCUCAAUUGGCAGAGCAACUGUCUUGUAAACAGAAGAUUGCAGGUUCGAUGCCUGCCACCAGCC
rnacentral:tRNA from 1 species